GUCUUUAUUUAGGUUGAAUGAGAAACACUGAAUGAAGGCGAGCUUCUUUUGUAAGUCGCUUAUGAGCGUGUUCACACCCUCAUUGUGUUUCACACUCAUCCCAAAUGUCACUUGCGCGCACGCGGACACACGCACGCAGCCGAGCCAAUUUGUGUCCACUCAGGCUCCAAUCCCCGUUGACUCUCGCAGCACCGGUCCCCGUUUCCCUCUCUCCUCUCGCUCGCUCUGUGCGGAUCUCCUCUCCUCGCGGAAGAACAGCAUGCAACGCUCUCAGUAUCACGAAGCCGGAGCGUUUGCGCGCGUGCGUCUCUGAUUGUGCGGUCGCGCGCUGGCUGUGGCGGAGCGACUUGUUCUCUGGUUGUAACGCGUGGAUCAUGUUUUAUUUUCAGCUGGUGAUCAUGGCAGGCACCGUUCUCCUGGCGUACUACUUCGAAUACACGGACACCUUCCCCGUGCACAUCCAGGGGUUCUUCUGCUUCGACAAGACGUUCUCCAAACCUUACCCCGGACCCGAGGAGAGGAGUAACGUACCGCCGGUGCUCGUGUACUCUCUGGUAGCCGCUAUUCCCACGAUAACCAUUCUGGCUGGUGAGGUGAUGGUGUUUUUCGGGAGGUCGGAGGGCGUGCAGGAGAAGACCAUAGUCACAGCCGACUGCUGUUACUUCAACCCUCUGCUGAGACGCAUCAUACGCUUCCUAGGUGUCUAUACCUUCGGCGUGUUCACCACCACCAUCUUUGCCAACGCCGGACAGGUAGUAACAGGAAACCAGACGCCUCACUUCCUGUCAGCAUGCAGACCAAACUACACAGCACUGGGCUGCCAUUCCAACCUCCAGUACAUCACAGAGCGCAAAGCCUGCACGGGAAACCCCCUCCUAGUAGCAUCUGCACGGAAAUCCUUUCCCUCCAAAGAUGCGGCCCUCAGUGUUUAUUCUGCAGUCUAUACAGUAAUGUACGUGACGUUGGUGUUCAGGACUAAAGGGACGCGUCUGACCAAACCCACACUCAGUCUGACUCUGCUGUGUCUGGCCAUGCUGGUGGGUGUGGUCCGAGUGGCUGAAUACCGAAACCACUGGGCCGACGUCCUCGCUGGAUACUUCACCGGCGGAGCCAUCGCUGUCUUUCUGGUGAUGUGUGUGAUCAACAACUUUCAACAGACAAAGCCCCCACCCCCGCCGGUGCGACCCCAGCGCCCUGAGUCUGUCCUGGGCAUGCCCAUGGUGGCGCUGCCCUGCGUAGAGAGUCCACUUGAAAAGUUAAGUGGCACUCAGGUAAGGGGUGGGAGCGGGUUAGUGGCAGGGCUGCACACAUAAGGGGGAUGGAUUACGCCCCACCCAGUGGACCCUAAUGUGACUCCCGAGACCCACUCAGCCCUCCUUCUUCCUUUACUAGCAUGUCCAACCUGCACAACCCAAACACCAACCACAGUUGCUCUGGAGGAUUGAUCGGCUAAGAGACGUUAGAUUACUUUUAUAACUAAGGCCUGGUUCACACGGGACGAUUUUAAAAUUGUCGGCAGAUUUUCCAAACCUGAGAGACCCCACACACGGCGAUAAAAAAUCACGGGUCUAACAGUUUUGGUCGCUCCGUGUGUGGUGUGCAGCCACACGGCAAUAUCAACACAUCACACACGAACCGAUUUGACUCCCGAGCAUUCCCAGGUCAGACGGGAAAUCUCGCAAAAUCCCUCGAGAUCAAACGUGACUUUAGAGUAAACAAUCAUGGCGGACAAAGAGGAUGCAGUGGCCAUUGUUUGUGCUUUGUUUUUAACGGGGAAAAAAACAUAAGAAAAAUAAGAAAAGGCGAUGGUCAAAGAGGCGGAGACGACGCGAGCAUGGACUAUACUUGCUAUAUCAUGAUAUGGAGAUAAGUUGUUGUUUUAUCUCAUAGAAAUGUUGUUACGUACUACACAGAUUAAUAACCGUUGAAAUAAACGUUCAUAUAUUAGUUUCCAUGUGCUCUGGUGGACUGCAGUUGUGGAUGUAGUUAUGCCCAUCGACUUUAUUUGUAUUUGUUAUAUUAUAUACGCCGGCUGUUUUGAUUUUGUUUCCCGGUACUAUCACUGCCUCGUCACCUCACUUUCUGAUUGGCUACACGCCACAGUCCACAGGCUGCGUGAUUGUUUGUCCUCGGGGGACACCACACACGAGAAGAAAUCGGGCAAAAUAAAUCCAACAUGUUGGAUAUCCCCGAUUUGAGAUCGGAGCGGUCCCGACAUUCUUCCGAGCAGAGGAGAUUAGUCUUAACACACCACACACGGCAGGAAUAUUUGAUCAGAUUAUUUUACGAUAAUCGGAGCAUCCUAAGAUUGUCGGAAGUGCUGAAUCGGGGCUAAAAUCGGCCCAAUUAUCCUGCCGUGUGAACCAGCCUUAAGAGUAACUAGGACGCAGCUGAAUGUUUAGGGCCAUUAACUCAUUGAUCCCUCAGUGGCUUGAUGGGAAUUCUUUAAAGCAGAUGUACCUUUACGAAAAAGCAAAUGGACUGUGUAGCAUGAGGAACUACAAAGACGGAAGGUCGUUAGAUGGUGCAUUCUGGGAAAAAUGAGCACAGUACUCCAAGGGGAUCUCCAUUCACUGAGAUCACAUGACCAUCAGCCUCAUCGGUUCCCCGUCCCCCCCGAUGUCCUCAUACCGUCUCGCUCCAUUUCCAGCGAAGUGUAGACCAGCCGUCCCAACACGCGCACCACUGCGCCGCCCACUCCACGGGACGCUCCGCCGCUCUGCACCGCUCCUACUCGACGCAGGUCUAGAUUUUCUCACCUCCAACCCCUCAUCCUCCAUAUUCCUCCAUGCUGACAAUAGGGCCUUCACAAACCACAAGAAACACUUUUAGAGAGCCUGCUCGGAGAUCCCGAACGCCUGAAUGAAAGCCAUAAAUCACAGGUAGGCAUCUCUGUCUUGCCAGAGAGUUUGUUUGGACUGUGGGUGGAGGAUUCGCACCUGUUUAGACCUCUCAAAACCAACCCGACCUACUUCCUGGGGAACCGAUGAAGAUGUCUUGAUCAGCUUUUGGCUGAAAUUCUGAAUUUUGGCUGCAAAUUUUACUGCAGUGUCAGUUUGUAUGUAAAUACAUGCACUGUUUUCUUGGUCUUUUGUUAAAAGCAUGUCUAUUUUGUUCAUUUGGGUUAUUAUAUGUCCUCUUUGUGUUGUUUUGUUUUCCAGACAGAGUUCUUAAAUUGCCUAAAAUGUCCAGGUUUUGGCUUUUACUUUCCUAUUGUUUUCUGGAAAAUGCUUUGACCAAUAGCGUGCAGGUAUUGUACAUAAUCAACCAAUCGUGGCGGGAUCUACAGAGAAUGGUCAAAGCAACGCAAAUACACAUAAAAUAACAUACACGUAUUGUAAAGAGCAAGUCAAUAGAAAACAAAGCCAAAGUCAGGAAAUUUUUGCCAAUUUAGAAACCAUGGCCUGGACAUAUCUAGGAAAAAGAGAGCGUGUGGUCACCUUAGCACUGAUGGAGUUUCUAAGAUAUGUUUUUAAAAUCCUCACAGUGUACGGUUUUGGCAAAGACAUACGUAAAGUAAUAUUUGUUUGUAUUUUGAGCUUUUAUCACUAUGCACUUGGGACAUCUCAUCAGCAUCGGCUAUCUGGACGUCCUGUAAGUGCACAUCAACCUCGUUCUUGAUACCAGCUCUAAUAAUAAUGUUUGGAUGCAUCAUAAGGAAUUGACAGACAGAAUGACAGUCAACCACAGCAUUGUUUUGUAAUAUUUAAUAUCCGGUUUGUGCUCGCAAGGAUUUCUUCACCAGCUAGAUGUAAUGCACAGUCUGACAUGAAGGCCUUUUCAUUACUGUCACCACAGGUACAACACAAGGCUUUCAGACAGGAGACAUUCUUACAGUUUGUCAUCAAUGUUCAAACUAAAUUCAGUACAACACAAUAUAGAAAUUAUUAGAUAGAAAUCAAAAGAUAGCUCGAUAAAUAGAAAUCGCUGUCCGGUUGCACUUAUAUAAGACCAAACCCAUUCCCACUCUUUGGAAACAGCACAGAAUGCAUUGUAAUACAGUGGGACGUUACCGUUUGAAGUUAUUUGAGCGAUUUGUUGACUGGUUAACAUGAUGUACUGCCUAGGUGAUGAAAGAUGAAAGAAAAUAGUUGUUUCAGUAAUGGAUUGAGAGUUGAAACUUUGAUGAAAAAUUGAGACAAACAUUACUUUCCAUUGGAAGAACAUGCACUGAUGAAUAAUUGGUAAUAAGUCCAGGAAAGUGUUUUAAAGGAAUAGUUCACCCAAAAAUAAAACAAAUUGCUGCAAAUGUACUCACCCUCAGGCAAUAAAAGAUGUAGAUGAGUCUUCAUCUGAUCAGAUUUGGAGAAAUGUAGCAUUACAUCACUUGCUCAUCAGUGGAUCCUCUGCAGUGAAUGGGUACCGUCAGAAUGAGAGUCCAAACAUCUUAUAAAAACAUCACAAUUAUCUCCACAACUCCAGUCCAUUUCUUUUGAAGAAAAAUAUAAGCAAAAGGAUAACAGGAUACAUUUUUCACUGGAGUAAGCGUUAGAAUGUUAUUUUUGGCCAGAAGCAGCAGUUCAAGUGGUUUAAAGUUAAAAUGUCUUGAUGGAUUUGUUUCUUACAAACAUGCAACUUUUCACUUCACAAGACAUUAACUGAUGACUGGAGUGGUGUGGAUUAUUGUGAUGUUUUUAUCAGCUGUUUCGACUCUCAUUCUGACGGCACCCAUUCACUGCAGAGCAUCCAUUGAUGAGCAAGUGACAAUGCUAAAUUUCUCCAAAUCUGUUCCCAUGAAGAAACAAAUGAAUCUUUAUCUUGCAUGGCCUGAGGGUUUGUAAAGCAAAUUAACUUUUUUUUUUUGAUAAACUACUCCUUUAAGAAAUUAAAUUCUGAAAAGAAAUUCUGAGCAAAUGGUUAAGUGUGGCAGCUAAAAUAAAGUAUUGCUCAAAGAUUCAUGUGCUCAUGUUUGAUCAACUAUAAUAGAUUUUCUACACCGAGGAUGUUCAUGAGAGACUGAGAGAGUCAAUUGCCUGGAUGUGUUGUACCAUAUAUUAACCAAGUGUUGUGCAUUUCAUCAUUUUAUUGAUAUCUGUUAGAUCUGUUUUAUUUGACCCUCACAUUCUUUUUUUAACUUGUCCCUUUUAGACUUGCACUUAGACUUGUUUUCUUAAAAAACACUAGCUUUCAAAUCUUUUUUUUUAUGCUAUAUGUUUUCUUUUCAUUUAUUAUACAACUAACAAAAGCAAAAAGACCUCUAACACUAGCUUGCUCUAUUCUUUUUUCUAUUCUAUUGAUCUUUUUUUAUAUUAUUUAAAAAUCCUUUGCUAUGCGUACUGCGUUAAUUGUUAAUUGAGUCUUGUAUAUCAUUGCUCUUUUAAGUGUGAUGAAAAUGUUAAAAUGGAUGUUAUUCAGAUUUUUAAAAAACGUUUGCUUUCAAUUACAUUUCUUUUCUAACUUAGUGUUUACUUAGACUAAUUGUUUGGUACUGUAAGUAAGCUGUGUGUACAAAUCGUGUGUACUUUUAUCAGAUGAGUGUAAACGCUCAACCUUGCUGCACUCCAAAUGGAUGAAAAUUAAUGUUUGUAACAUUAACUGUGACAUCUAAUCUAUCUGAUGCCCCUCAGCCUUUACAUCCCGGCCCCAGGUCCAGCCUCUGCCACAUUCUGUGCUACGUACAGUUACUGUCUCUGUUGUAAGAGCAGCAUCUACACAUGCUAAGAAACACCUUCUCACCAUUGAAACACUCCAUCAAAGGUGAUGUCUGCAAUUUUUUACCACUGGAAAGUCAAUUUACAACAGCAGUGGCUGAUCUCAAACAGGUUUCCCUCUAUAAUUGGUCAGCUAAACAGCAAGCCCCGCCCCCAAACCCACGCUAUUGGAUGUGCCAAUGCUGCUGUUUCGAGCUGGUCAGGACUCUCAGAGAAAUGGAGCAAGAGACAGUCACAGCCAUACAGUGUUUACACUUUUUGGGCGAAUCAAGCUGCGAAUGGUUUAUUUAGAGUUUGCAGCAUUUCAAGACUGAAAGAAUUACAUGCUUCACCUAUAAAAAAAAAAAAGCUGUGAUCUGUAGCGCUCAGCUCUCUUAUUCCUUCUUCCAUACAUACAACUGAAAAUAUGUUUGUACAGUUUUGCAAAUAAGUCUUUUUGUAUAAAAAAAAAGAAAAAAAGUUUUGCACACCGUAUUGUUACAUUAUUGAUUUUUUUGUUUGUUUGUUUUUUUCAAAUAGAUCUGUGUUUUGGGUAACUGAAUAAAGUGUGACAUGCC